rnacentral:lncRNA from 1 species
UUCAACGUACUGAUCACGUGGGGAAUAGAACAAGUUGAAUUUGAUUCAAACAUUUGAUGAUAAGGGAAAGCAAGUUGAGUUGAAAAAGCCUAUGUGAAGAAAGAGUUUCAGUCUAUGCAAAACGUAUAAUUUGAAGGACUCUUUGAAGAGUUGGAGUUUGACUACAACACUAAGGAGACGAGAGUUGAAUUUGAAGAAGG